UGUUGCUGGGGGAGGGGGUAGCCGUGACCGCGCGGGGGGAAAGGCAGGGGAACUUGAGGGGGCGGCGGGCCGGGAAAACGGUUGCCCCCAGCGUCUGGGAACCUGAGACUACAGGCACAAGUAAGCGCUCGGGUGGAUGCCUGUGGGACGGCGGCGCGGGGAGCAGACGUUAACCCGGCCGGACCUCGCGCACAUACCCCACGCUGACCCGGCCUUGCAUAGGGUCGGAAUAUGGGGAUGGGGUCCAGGCAGGGCUGGUCCCAGCACCGAGCUCUCUUGCAGCGCCACCAGUUUGUUAACUCUACAGCCCCAGGGGGUGGGUUAAUGGGGGAGGUCCAUGCCCCCCCCCCAUAUGAUCCUCGUCCGCUAGAUCGUGUCCGCUCCCACCCCCAACUGCUUCCAAGGAGAGAGUUUGGCGAGGGUGGCUAGAAGAGGUUUGUUGGGCUCGGGUUCCUAGCGCCUGGUCUUGGGUCUGAGAACGGGGACUCAAAUUCGAUGAACACAAGGGCCCUUCGCGGGCCCUACAAACCGACUGCGGUUCGGUGGUGUCUCCCCCGCCCUCUGUACCCGAGAGUCCUCGGGCGUCUGCCGGGUCCUAGCGCCCCUCCUUCCAAGGCGCUUUGUGUAAAAGAACCGGAGAGUUGCAUCAGGACCAAGGACUAGAUCUCCGGAAAAGUCCGGGAGUGCAAUGGCCAUCCCCUGUUUCGUCAUUCAGGCGGGGCCACAGGAUAUCUGGCUUGAUGGCAGUGCUCGGGGACGAAUAAUGAUUGCUGAGGGUGGGAGGAGGUUCGGACGGACUCGACCUUUACGUCUUUAAAGGCUUAUCAAUCUGGGACACCGGGAUCCCAAUAGAAGAGGGAACCAAAUUUACAGCAGACGCUCCCACUCCGGGAGCCUAACCAGAUCCGACUGGCAGGCCUCGCCUCGGGGGCGGGCUUGCGCGUGACAGAUGACACUUGCUGGAGGUCGGGCCCCUGCCAUCCCCACCCCCACCUAAUUAAAAAAAAAAAAAAAAAAAAAAGGCUGACCCGUGGGCCUUUCGGGCAAACCGUGACUCGAACCAGAAAGGACCGGAAUUGAGGCCCUGCACCGCCCCCCUCCCCCAUUUUCCAGAUGGAGGAACCAAUUAUGGAGACAAAUUUAUGGAUAAAAAAUAAAUUAGGGGGUGUCGGAUUAGGAGAUAGCGUUAAGAUUGCCGCACAACAAAAUAGUCUUUUGGCCGCUGGGGCGAUUAAGGCCUGAACACUGGCCCUUUCUUCCUGUCCUCUGAGUUCCAGUCACUUACUGGGAGCCUUAAAGAUACCAGGGUCAGGGGGGUUAGGGGAAGUGCUUGGAGGGCUGGUGGUGGUAGAUGACAUUCUCUUGAAAUCACAGUUUACUGAGGUGGGGUGACCCGUAUGGAUGUGGCCUUGUCGCCAGGACAGAAGGUUAGGGAAUGAAUCCAUCAGAGUACUAUUCCCUCUUCCCACCAGACAGACUGGGUUGGGGACACCUGAGACAGAAGGAGAUAGUUUGGGGAUGUUUUUCUUUUUCAUCUCUCUCUCUCUCUCUCCCUCUCUUUGUGGCAGGAAAAAAAGGAAAUAUUUCAGAAAAAAAUGUGGAACACUAAGAAAAAUAGAGGUUUUUAAAAAAGUGGAUAUUCAUAAGCAAAAGAAUCCAGAGACCGUGUGGAGAGCUCAGUUCACCAGAAACCAUUCAUAUUCAAUAUGGUAUUUGUGUGGUGCAUUUGAGUGUUUGUGUGUGUGUUGAAUAUGUGCAGUGUGUCUGCAGUGUAGGGUUUGUGCUUUGUAUGUAUUUUGUGUGUAUGUGUGUGGAAUAUCUGUGGUGUGAGUGCGCUGUAUGUGUAGAUCUUAGUGGGUGUUGGUUAUGGUUUGGUGUAUGUGAACUGUGUGUGUGGUAUAUAUGAAUUGUGAAUGUGGUUUAUAUGUGGAGUAUAUGCAGCGUAAGUGUGGGCUGUGCAGUGUGUGUAUGUGUGUGUUAUUUGUGUGGCAGCGAAACAUGGUCAUGAAACAGUGUGCUAAGCACAUUUUAUCAUUCACUGUCUCACUCUGUUAUUGCCAAGUUUUUCCCAAAUGGGAAGGCCUGUGUUAAUGGGCACUGAGUAAUUUUGUUUCUUUUCAAAAGAAAUCCACUAAUGUUGUUGCCUCAUUGUGUUUUCUAAAAAUAUGGAAAAAAAAGACCAGCAGUCUUAGCCCUGGACGUCUCUCCCAGAGCAGAAGGCCCACCGGCUGCAGAAUAAACAAUCACCUACAAGGAGGACUGGGGGCCGGGAGGCUCCAAACGACUUUCCUCACUGACCCCCUUCUCCCCUGUGAAGGAGGGGUCAAAGCCCCAUACCAUUGUCUUCCAGGAGAACCUUUGGACCUGGAAAAGGAAUUUCUUAACUGUUAGCCCCUCUGUGGAGUCAGGGUAAAGGGCGUUGAUCCAUCGUGUGAGGGGAAGGGAAGGGUAGGAUCCCUUCCAUCUGGCUGGGGCUGCAAAGACUUCAUUACCACCCCACUUACCCCUCCCACUAUUGAAGCAGAUGGGGGUGUGGGAAACACCUAAAAUGUGUAACUCCUGGGGGAGGAGGAAGCUCAGUCUCCUCACCUCUAAGCCAGGCCCCCUUGGAGACCUCAAAGAUCCCAUAAACCCUGCAUUUGGUGCGCUUCUCUCUCCCUACUACUCCCCUUGGGCCUAAGCUGGCUGCAGGUCAGACUUGCCUGAACAUGCCCCUGCCUGAAGCUUUGGAGACUCAGCUCUGGCAUCCCUGCAGCCAAGAAGCCUUCCCCAGCACGCCCACCCCCACCCUCCCAUCCCUUAGGUGCCCCUCCUCAUGUCAUCCUUAUACCUGUGUAUAUCUCUUGUUAAUAAUUGUUUCCACUUUAGUCUUCUUAUUGGACUAUGAGCUUCUUGAGGAUGGUGUUCUACUCUCCUUAACUUCCAGUGGACAGCACAUAGUAAAGGCUCAGUGAACAUUCCUUGGAUGAACAGAUGAAUGGAUGGAUGGAUGGAUGGAUGGAGAGAUGGAUGGAUAAAGCAAGAAGGUGAAUUUUCCCAGAAUUGUAGACCUACAUCUGGAUUCCCAAGACCAAGGUCUGUGUGGGGCACUUUGGUACAACAGCCCCCUAGGCGAUCCUGACGCUCGGCUCCAUUUUAGUUGGAAUGUCUGCUGACCUCUCAGAAAGAAAGAGCUAGACAGACCAUGAGCAUGGGAGGGGCAGAAAGAGAAGGAGACAGAAUUU